rnacentral:rRNA from 2 species
UGACCUCAGAUCAGACAAGGAUACCUGCUGAACUUAAGCAUAUCAAUAAGCAGAGGAAAAGAAACCAACAGGGAUUGCCUCAGUAACGGCGAGUGAAGCGGCAACAGCUCAAAUUUGAAAUCUGGAGCCUUUGGCUUCCGAGUUGUAAUUUGAAGAGGAUGUUUCGGUGCGACCUGGGCCUAAGUUCCUUGGAACAGGACGUCAUGGAGGGUGAGAAUCCCGUACAUGGCUGCAGGUUUGCUUCUAUGUGAAACUCCUUCGAAGAGUCGAGUUGUUUGGGAAUGCAGCUCAAAAUGGGUGGUAAAUUUCAUCUAAAGCUAAAUAUUGGGGGGAGACCGAUAGCGCACAAGUAGAGUGAUCGAAAGAUGAAAAGCACUUUGAAAAGAGAGUUAAACAGUACGUGAAAUUGUUGAAAGGGAAGCGCUUGCAAUCAGACUCGCCUUCAGUUGAUCAGCCUUCCUUCUGGUUGGUGCACUCUGCUGUUGGCGGGCCAGCAUCAGUUGGGGCGGUGGGACAAAGGUAGCAGGAAUGUGGCUCGCUUUGGUGAGUGUUAUAGCCUGCUGCGUCAUGCCACCAGUCCCGACUGAGGUCCGCGGUUCGCCUAGGAUGCUGGCUUAAUGGUUGUAAGCGAC